GUGAGAUAAAACAAAACUGCCACAAAGUCAAACGCCAUAAUUUUUACAAUUUUUUCCAAAUUUUAUUGAAUGAAAGCAAAAAAUGUCGGAAAUAGCAUCAAAUUUUAAAAUAAACUUCUAUCACGCUUGAAUUCCAUCACGAAUAAUUUUUUUUCUGGAAAAU